rnacentral:rRNA from 1 species
UACGUAGGGUGCAAGCGUUAUCCGGAAUUAUUGGGCGUAAAGAGCUCGUAGGCGGUUUGUCGCGUCUGCUGUGAAAACUGGAGGCUCAACCUCCAGCCUGCAGUGGGUACGGGCAGACUAGAGUGCGGUAGGGGAGAUUGGAAUUCCUGGUGUAGCGGUGGAAUGCGCAGAUAUCAGGAGGAACACCAAUGGCGAAGGCGCCUAUCUGGCCCGAUACUGACGCUGAGGCGCGAAAGCUAGGGGAGCAAACGGG